rnacentral:rRNA from 1 species
UGUACUUGAUUCAAAUGCGAUGUGGGGACGGAGAAGGUUAGGUUGGCAAGCUGUUGGAAUAGCUUGUUUAAGCCGGUAGGUGGAAGACUUAGGCAAAUCCGGGUUUUCUUAACACCGAGAAGUGAUGACGAGUGUCUACGGACACGAAGCAACCGAUACCACGCUUCCAGGAAAAGCCACUAAGCUUCAGUUUGAAUCGAACCG